rnacentral:rRNA from 1 species
UACAGAGGGUGCAAGCGUUGUCCGGAAUCACUGGGCGUAAAGGGCGCGUAGGCGGCUUUUCAAGUCGGGCGUGAAAUCUCCGGGCUUAACCCGGAAGGGUCGUUCGAUACUGUUGAGCUAGAGUGUGGAAGAGGCAACUAGAAUUCCGUGUGUAGCGGUGAAAUGCGUAGAUAUACGGAGGAAUACCUGAGGCGAAGGCGGGUUGCUGGGCCAACACUGACGCUGAGGCGCGAAAGCCAGGGGAGCAAACGGG